GCGGAGGUGGUGGAGCGGUCUAACACGCUAGCUUAAGGUACACCUUGAAACGCUAGUCCUCCGGGGCGCGGGUUCGAAUCCCGUCCUCCGCA